GACGGGCCCGCACAAGCAGCGGAGCGUGUGGUUUAAUUUGAUGCUACACGAAGAACCUUACCAGGGUUUGACAUACAAGUAGUAGGGAAAGGAAACUGGACCGACCCUUCGGGGAGCUUGUACAGGUGCUGCAUGGCUGUCGUCAGCUCGUGUCGUGAGAUGUUCGGUUAAGUCCGCUAACGAGCGCAACCCUCGUCGUGUGCUAUACGUGUCACACGAUACUGCCGGUAUCAAGCCGGAGGAAGGUGGGGAUGAUGUCGAGUCAGCAUGGCCUUUAUAUCCUGGGCUACACACACGCUACAAUGGCAGAUACAAUAGGUUGCGAAACCGCGAGGUGGAGCCAAUCCUCAAAGUCUGUCUCAGUUCAGAUUGUAGGCUGCAACUCGCCUGCAUGAAGUUGGAGUUGCUAGUAAACGCAGGUCAGCUAUACUGCGUUGAAUACGUUCCCGGGGUUU
rnacentral:rRNA from 1 species